rnacentral:rRNA from 1 species
CCAAUAGCGUAUAUUAAAGUUGUUGCAGUUAAAAAGCUCGUAGUUGAAUUUCAGGCCUGGCUGGACGGUCCGCCCUUCGGGUGAGUACUGUCUGUGGUCGGGUCCUACCUUCUGGCGAAGCGUCAUGGCCUUAACCGGCCGUGGCGGGGAACCAGGACUUUUACUGUGAAAAAAUUAGAGUGUUCAAAGCAGGCAAUCGCUUGGAUACAUUAGCAUGGAAUAAUGGAAUAGGACAAUGGUUCUAUUUGUUGGUUUCUAGGACCGUUGUAAUGAUUAAUAGGGAUAUUUGGGGGCAUUAGUAUUCAAGUGUCAGAGGUGAAAUUCUUGGAUUUAUUGAAGACUAACUACUGCGAAAGCAUUUGCCAAGGAUGCUUUCAUUAAUCAAGAACGAAAGUUAGGGGAUCGAAGACGAUCAGAUACCGUCGUAGUCUUAACCAUAAACUAUGCCGACUAGGAAUCGGGCGAUGUUGACAAAAUGACGCGCUCGGCACCUCAUG